rnacentral:rRNA from 1 species
AUUGAACGCUGGCGGCAUGCCUUACACAUGCAAGUCGAACGGCAGCACGGGUGCUUGCACCUGGUGGCGAGUGGCGAACGGGUGAGUAAUACAUCGGAACAUGUCCUGGAGGGGGGGAUAGCCCGGCGAAAGCCGGAUUAAUACCGCAUACGAUCUACGGAUGAAAGCGGGGGACCUUCGGGCCUCGCGCUAUAGGGUUGGCCGAUGGCUGAUUAGCUAGUUGGUGGGGUAAAGGCCUACCAAGGCGACGAUCAGUAGCUGGUCUGAGAGGACGACCAGCCACACUGGGACUGAGACACGGCCCAGACUCCUACGGGAGGCAGCAGUGGGGAAUUUUGGACAAUGGGCGAAAGCCUGAUCCAGCAAUGCCGCGUGUGUGAAGAAGGCCUUCGGGUUGUAAAGCACUUUUGUCCGGAAAGAAAUCCUUGGCCCUAAUACGGUCGGGGGAUGACGGUACCGGAAGAAUAAGCACCGGCUAACUACGUG